rnacentral:rRNA from 1 species
AGUGAACGCUGGCGGUAGGCCUAACACAUGCAAGUCGAACGGCAGCACAGGAGAGCUUGCUCUCUAGGUGGCGAGUGGCGGACGGGUGAGGAAUACAUCGGAAUCUGCCCAGUCGUGGGGGAUAACGUAGGGAAACUUACGCUAAUACCGCGUACGACCUUCGGGUGAAAGAGGGGGAUCGCAAGACCUCUCGCGAUUGGAUGAGCCGAUGUCGGAUUAGCUAGUUAGCGGGGUAAUGGCCCACCAAGGCGACGAUCCGUAGCUGGUCUGAGAGGAUGAUCAGCCACACUGGAACUGAGACACGGUCCAGGCUCCUACGGGAGGCAGCAGUGGGGAAUAUUGGACAAUGGGCGCAAGCCUGAUCCAGCCAUACCGCGUGGGUGAAGAAGGCCUUCGGGUUGUAAAGCCCUUUUGUUGGGAAAGAAAUCUUUCAGGCUAAUACCCUGGGAGGAUGACGGUACCCAAAGAAUAAGCACCGGCUAACUUCGUG